GAACUUAAGGCAUUGUCGUGACAAUGGGCGCAAGCCUGAACCAGCCAUGCCGCGUGCAGGAUGAAGGCCCUACUGGAGUUGUAAACUGUCUUUUGUACUGGGAGGAAACCACUGCUCUAUCUGUCUGUAGGCAGCUUGACGGUACCGUAAUGAAUAAGCAUCGGCUAACUCCGUGCCAGCAGCCGCGGUAAUACGGAGGAUCCAAGCGUUAUCCGGAUUCAUUGGGUUUAAAGGGUCCGUAGGCGGUCUUGGUAAGUCAGUGGUGAAAUGCCCAGUCGCUUAACUCUGAAACGUGCCAUUGAUACUGCCUGACUUGAAUUUCUUUGGAGGUAACUCGGAAUAUGUCGUGUAGCGGUGAAAUGCUUAGAUAUUGACAUGGAACACCAAUUGCGAAGGCAGCUUACUACGCGUUUAUUGACGCUGAGGCACGAAAGCGUGGGGAUCAAACAGGAUUAGAUACCCUGGUAGUCCACGCCGUAAACGAUGGGAUACUCGCU
rnacentral:rRNA from 1 species